CGUUACACAAUCUUUCCUAAGUGCUGGCUUCAACUUCUCUCCGCUCCUCUAUUCCAACGGGUCCGUUUUGUUGCCCUGCACAUUUCACAAUCCACAGCUGACUGUCUUCCUGCCUCUCUCACACCCUGCAGAGGUUGGCCGAUUCCCGCUCUGUGUUUCAUAGCAGACGUCUCCAAACCUGAGCUCAGGAGUGAGUCGCGCAGGCAGGUACUCCUUACAGAGAGCUGCUGUUUUUCAUGUGUUGCAGCAUCUCCUAGAUUCUGUUGUUCAUGAGGACACUCCCUGUCCAGAGAAGAGGAAGCUUGCCUGGAUGAAAGAAGAGAGGGAACAAAAUGUGCCGAGCUAGGGUUGAGAGGGAGGUAGCCAACAAGUAGACUUUAAAAAAAAAAAAAAUGGGUCUUGGCUGGA